GAAAGGGAAAGAAAAGCCUUGAAGACCUGGAAAUCUGCACGGUGAUCAUUCAGGCAUGCCGCAAGAUGCAUCCAAAGGAGUCAAUAAAGGUGUUUGUUGAGUGCAUCGCAGAGACUUUUAAGUAUGCUCCACAUCGCGGAACAAGGGCCCUGUCUGGCAGUCCGAGGGAGUUGUACUCGGCAGGGGCGAGGAGCCUACCCCUGUGUGGGACGGGGCUCAGCUGGUGGUGGUGGUGGUGGGGUGGAGGAGGUUGCCGUGUUAGCACACUGAAACAGCAAUGUGAUAGAUCGUAAGCAGACUUAUAAAGCAAUGCCUUACAUGCGAUUGGCUGGGAAUUACCCAUAAUGGUGUGAUGAUGUACAGCUGAUCUUCCCGCUAGAACUACACUGCACUUACAUUUCAGUUGCAUAUAAGUAGCAAAAGUGAAUGUCUUAUGAUAAUCUCAUAAUAUAAUAACAAUUAAAAAUAAUAACUUGAGGCAAUCUGUUCACUUCACAGGUGGAGAAUCAGGAGAGUGGACACCAGUAGUGUGUGUAAUGUGUACACACACUUAUAUACUUUUACUCUUAAUGUUAUAAAAUAC